CAAAUGUUGUGUAGUUUUUAGUUGACUUACGUUUUCCGUGAAUAUUCGUGCAGAAAUUCAUGUGCAUUGUGGCUUCUGUUCUAGGUCCAAAAUCGUCAUUUUAUCAGCGGCUAUCAUCAUCAGCAUAUUGGAUCGGAUUAUGAGCAAGUGAUUAACUUUGUUGACUCACCACCGAAUUCUGAGGAAUCUUGGACAGACGCACAGUCCAAGGAAUCGCCAGGACCCCAAAUAAUCGACGUUAGAACAAUUUACUCCAACAGUGGUUCACGCAAAAGACGAAUGGAUUGGGACUCAUUAGAUAUCGGUCAAAGUGAAAAUUCGCCGACAACACAAUCUGGCGACUUACUCCAAUAAAGUGCAACAGCACGAGAAGGAUAAACACAAGAGAGAGAAGCAUUCAGGUCGCAGCAGCUGGAGCGACGACAUAGGCUUCGAUUUGAACGCAGAGUUUAAUAGCAACUCAUAUUUGAACAAGUGAUGAGAACUUUUAUCGUUCUCCCCGAGCCUGACGGCUCUCAAACAGGAGCCGCAAACGGAGCAGCUCAAGCCAAGUCCCAAGGAUCAAAGCACUGGCAAUUCCGCUGCUGCUGCUGCUGCUGUGGUUGUUGCUCUUAUUGUUGUUGCCACCGCUGCUUGCCGUUGAAUUUUCUAUAUAAGUUUCAAUCUGUAGUCGAAAUGGAACACCCUUUUCGCCAUAAAAGGCGAAGGUAUAAACUACACAACAAAAAGAAAAUACAAACCAACAAAAGAAAUUAUGAUUACCACAUUCAAAGUACAGUACCACGAUAAAUCGAACAACAACAACGAAUGUCGGAUGAGAGUUCAGCUAACAACCAAACAACAUCUAUUGUUUUACUUAUCCAGCUUGUCUAUUGUAUGUGAUAGAAGCAAUAAAG